rnacentral:rRNA from 1 species
ACUCCUACGGGAGGCAGCAGUGGGGAAUAUUGCACAAUGGGCAGCAAGCCUGAUGCAGCCAUGCCGCGUGUAUGAAGAAGGCCUUCGGGUUGAUAAAGUACUUUCAGCAGGUGAGGAGGUGGGUAUGUUAAUAGCAUACUUCAUUUGACGUUAGCUGCAGAAGAAGCACCGGCUAACUCCGUGCCAGCAGCCGCGGUAAUACGGAGGGUGCGAGCGUUAAUCGGAAUUACUGGGCGUAAAGCGCAUGCAGGUGGUUUGUUAAGUCAGAUGUGAAAGCCCGGGGCUCAACCUCGGAAUUGCAUUUGAAACUGGCAAAGCUAGAGUACUGUAGAGGGGGGUAGAAUUUCAGGUGUAGCGGUGAAAUGCGUAGAGAUCUGAAGG